GCUAAGUAUCGUCUCACCUCCGAAUAGUCGUUUUUGUCGGAUUUAAGGAAGUUUUCUGCAAAUUUCUUUUUCAGCUGGUUUUUCUUCGGAAAUUUAACUUUGAAUUGGUCUAAACAUCACAAUCGUGUUUUUCACGCUAACUAAACGCGCUAAGUAUCUUUUUAUCUCCGAAUCGUCGUUUUUGUUGGAUUUUAGGAAGUUUUCUGCAAAUUUCUUUUACAGCUGGUUUCUCUUCGGAAAUUUAACUUUGUCAUUCAAACUUGGUCUAAACAUUACAAACGUGUU